GUAACGGCGAGUGAAGCGGCAACAGCUCAAAUUUGAAAUCUGGCUCUCGGGCCCGAGUUGUAAUUUGUAGAGGAUGCUUUUGGUGAGGUGCCUUCCGAGUUCCCUGGAACGGGACGCCAUAGAGGGUGAGAGCCCCGUCUGGUUGGACACCGAUCCUCUGUAAAGCUCCUUCGACGAGUCGAGUAGUUUGGGAAUGCUGCUCUAAAUGGGAGGUAUAUGUCUUCUAAAGCUAAAUACCGGCCAGAGACCGAUAGCGCACAAGUAGAGUGAUCGAAAGAUGAAAAGAACUUUGAAAAGAGAGUUAAAAAGUACGUGAAAUUGUUGAAAGGGAAGCGCUUGUGACCAGACUUGGGCUUGGUUGAUCAUCCGGGGUUCUCCCCGGUGCACUCUUCCGGCUCAGGCCAGCAUCAGUUCGCCCUGGGGGAUAAAGGCUUCGGGAAUGUGGCUCUCUCCGGGGAGUGUUAUAGCCCGCUGCGUAAUACCCUGUGGCGGACUGAGGUUCGCGCAUUCGCAAGGAUGCUGGCGUAAUGGUCAUCAGUGACCCGUCUUGAAACACGGACCAAGGAGUCGUCUUCGUAUGCGAGUGUUCGGGUGUCAAACCCCUACGCGAAAUGAAAGUGAACGCAGGUGAGAGCUUCGGCGCAUCAUCGACCGAUCCUGAUGUUAUCGGAUGGAUUUGAGUAAGAGCAUACGGGGCCGGACCCGAAAGAAGGUGAACUAUGCCUGUGUAGGGUGAAGCCAGAGGAAACUCUGGUGGAGGCUCGCAGCGGUUCUGACGUGCAAAUCGAUCGUCAAACAUGGGCAUGGGGGCGAAAGACUAAUCGAACCUUCUAGUAGCUGGUUUCCGCCGAAGUUUCCCUCAGGAUAGCAGUGUUGAACUCAGUUUUAUGAGGUAAAGCGAAUGAUUAGGGACUCGGGGGCGCUAUUUAGCCUUCAUCCAUUCUCAAACUUUAAAUAUGUAAGAAGCCCUUGUUGCUUAAUUGAACGUGGGCAU
rnacentral:rRNA from 1 species